rnacentral:tRNA from 1 species
GGGGGUAUAGCUCAGUGGUAGAGUGCUUGCCUUGUAUGCAGAAGACCCUGGGUUCAAUCCUCAGUAUAGCCA